GAUGAACGCUGGCGGCGUGCCUAAUACAUGCAAGUCGAGCGAACGGACGAGAAGCUUGCUUCUCUGAUGUUAGCGGCGGACGGGUGAGUAACACGUGGAUAACCUACCUAUAAGACUGGGAUAACUUCGGGAAACCGGAGCUAAUACCGGAUGAUAUUUUGAACCGCAUGGUUCAAAAGUGAAAGACGGUCUUGCUGUCACUUAUAGAUGGAUCCGCGCUGCAUUAGCUAGUUGGUAAGGUAACGGCUUACCAAGGCAACGAUGCAUAGCCGACCUGAGAGGGUGAUCGGCCACACGGGAACUGAGACACGGUCCAGACUCCUACGGGAGGAAGCAGUAGGGAAUCUUCCGCAAUGGGCGAAAGCCUGACGGAGCAACGCCGCGUGAGUGAUGAAGGUCUUCGGAUCGUAAAACUCUGUUAUUAGGGAAGAACAUAUGUGUAAGUAACUGUGCACAUCUUGACGGUACCUAAUCAGAAAGCCACGGCUAACUACGUG
rnacentral:rRNA from 1 species